GUUUGAAAACUAAAGAAUCUCUCCUGCAAUGUGUUGGCUUCGUCUAUAUAACUAGACGCAUAAACGAUUUGGCAAUGGGUUCAAACAUCAGUCUUUUUACAACACACACAAAGAAACACCUGCACCAUCACAACAAGGACACAAAAUCCAGCCAGUUCUUAUUUCCAUAAUUAUUUUUAUUGCAUACCCAUCACAUUUGCCAAUGUUGAAUAAAACCCACCUAAGUGCAUCAAUCUCAUGGACCUACUAAGUACAUAGAGGAGUUUCAUGAGAGAGCGCACUGAGCUGAUCUCAUGGUGAAACCAUUAGCCGUGUUCGGUGAUGCACUGCUAAAGAAUUAGACAUGUCAAGGACAUAACCUAAAUGUUUUCUGAUUAGUAAUAGAUGAAUGAAUGAAUACAUACAUUAUAAAAUGUUUUGUAACUUUGAAUGAGACUUGACUUGAUAAUUCUAAACGUUGAAUAAAUAACAAUUACUAUAAUGCUUAGUCGACAGGUUAUUUAGGCUCCAUGCAAACUUUUAUAUAAAUUUAUUUCAUUUGAAAGGUAAUGAAUCAUCUUUUUUUCACCAGAAAUAACUAUGGAACCAUAAGCCGACUAUGUUCCAUUAAAGCCCACCUCAUGUUUUUCAAUAGGAAGUCCAUGUUGUCAGACCAAUUCUCACUGUGAUGAAAUGCCAGGCUGUUCAUUUUAAGACAUUGGUUACAUGGGGUUACAUACAGAUUAUACACUGUCCAAAGUAUUACAUUUUUUUUGGUAUAAUAGAUUAAGCUAAUUUGUUCGCAGUAAGAUAAUUACUACAAAAAGAAGAAAUCACAGCACCAAUCCUAAGAUAGUAGAGGAAUAGGCUUAAUGGUACCUUUACCCUAACAAAAAAAGGUGAUUAGGGAUGAAGCAUGGGUUGGAGGUGAUUGCGGGUGCUUCAGGCUGGAGAGUGAAGCAGGCAGGCUGGAAGUGGAGAUCCACAGAGCACUACAGGCAGAAAGAAACAAGGAUUGAGAAAUACAACUGGUGAAAAAACUACUAUCAGGUGUUAAAUAUAUGAGAGCCAGAUACACAUAUCUACCACUGAAAUUGAAGUAUGAUCCAACAGCUUCAUAACUUACCUGUGUUUACGACCGUAACACUGCUGCUGUUGUUGAUGUCAUUGAUGUCGUGGUCAUACCUAAAAGACGGUUGAUGACCAAUGCAAUCAAGUGACAACUGACAAGUAGCCAUCACUGAGCCGUGCAUGCGGGGACGAAUCGUGGAUCUAUCCCAUUGGCUAGCUAGCCCGAACAGCCAUAUUCCUAUUGGCUGUAAGGGCUGUAAAUGGAAUCAGAUUGAGUCAUUCAGGGUGUGCACUUUGCAGAGAUGCAUUCAGGGAACGGAGUGUACUUCAGGGAAACCGACACGCCCUGUCUUCUAUCAAUUUAAAAGAGGAAUCAAAGGGGUAGACCGGUGUGGUUCACACCGCCGACGACUGUUGGACCAUUUCAUUCAGAGAGCCCACACCAUAAUCUUCUCAG
ensembl:lncRNA